rnacentral:rRNA from 1 species
GAUGAACGCUGGCGGCGUGCCUAAUACAUGCAAGUCGAGCGAACAGACGAGGAGCUUGCUCCUCUGACGUUAGCGGCGGACGGGUGAGUAACACGUGGAUAACCUACCUAUAAGACUGGGAUAACUUCGUGAAACCGGAGCUAAUACCGGAUAAUAUAUUGAACCGCAUGGAUCAAUAGUGAAAGACGGUUUUGCUGUCACUUAUAGAUGGAUCCGCGCCGCAUUAGCUAGUUGGUAAGGUAACGGCUUACCAAGGCAACGAUGCGUAGCCGACCUGAGAGGGUGAUCGGCCACACUGGAACUGAGACACGGUCCAGACUCCUACGGGAGGCAGCAGUAGGGAAUCUUCCGCAAUGGGCGAAAGCCUGACGGAGCAACGCCGCGUGAGUGAUGAAGGUCUUCGGAUCGUAAAACUCUGUUAUUAGGGAAGAACAAAUGUGUAAGUAACUAUGCACGUCUUGACGGUACCUAAUCAGAAAGCCACGGCUAACUACGUG